rnacentral:rRNA from 1 species
AACGAACGCUGGCGGCAGGCUUAACACAUGCAAGUCGAGCGCCCCGCAAGGGGAGCGGCAGACGGGUGAGUAACGCGUGGGAAUCUACCCAUCUCUACGGAAUAACGCAUGGAAACGUGUGCUAAUACCGUAUACGUCCUUCGGGAGAAAGAUUUAUCGGAGAUGGAUGAGCCCGCGGUGGAUUAGCUAGUUGGUGGGGUAAAGGCCUACCAAGGCGACGAUCCAUAGCUGGUCUGAGAGGAUGAUCAGCCACACUGGGACUGAGACACGGCCCAGACUCCGACGGGAGGCAGCAGUGGGGAAUAUUGGACAAUGGGCGCAAGCCUGAUCCAGCCAGGCCGCGUGAGUGAUGAAGGCCCUAGGGUUGUAAAGCUCUUUCACCGGUGAAGAUAAUGACGGUAGCCGGAGAAGAAGCCCCGGCUAACUUCGUGCCAGCCGCCGCGGUAGGAG